GACGAACGCUGGCGGCGUGCUUAACACAUGCAAGUCGAACGGCAAGGCCCUGCUUUUGUGGGGUGCUCGAGUGGCGAACGGGGGCGUAACACGUGAGUAACCUGCCCUUGACUUUGGGAUAACUUCAGGAAACUGGGGCUAAUCCCGUAUAGCAGCUCCUGCUGCAUUGUGGGGGUUGGAACGUUUCGGCGGUUGGGGAUGGACUCGCGGCUUAUCAGCUUGUUGGUGGGGUAGUGGCUUACCAAGGCUUUGACGGGUAGCCGGCCUGAGAGGGUGAACGGCCACAUUGGGACUGAGAUACGGACCAGACGCCUACGGUAGGCAGCAGUGGCGAAUAUUGCACAAUGGGCGGAAGUCUGAUGCAGCAACGCCGCGUGCGGGAUGACGGCCUUCGGGUUGUAAACCGCUUUCGCCUGUGACGAAGCGUGAGUGACGGUAAUGGGUAAAGAAGCACCGGCUAACUACGUG
rnacentral:rRNA from 1 species